rnacentral:rRNA from 1 species
UUUCCGGGUUGAUCCUGCCGGACAUGACUGCUAUCGGAUUGAUACUAAGCCAUGCGAGUCAUUGUAGCAAUACAAGGCAUACGGCUCAGUAACGCGUAGUCAACCUAACCUAUGGACGGGAAUAACCUCGGGAAACUGAGAAUAAUGCCCGAUAGAACAUUAUGCCUGGAAUGGUUUAUGUUCCAAAUGAUUUAUCGCCGUAGGAUGGGACUGCGGCCUAUCAGUUUGUUGGUGAGGUAAUGGCCCACCAAGACUAUUACAGGUACGGGCUCUGAGAGGAGUAGCCCGGAGAUGGGUACUGAGACACGGACCCAGGCCCUAUGGGGCGCAGCAGGCGAGAAAACUUUGCAAUGUGCGAAAGCACGACAAGGUUAAUCCGAGUGGUUUCUGCUAAAGGAACCUUUUGUCAGUCCUAGAAACACUGAUGAAUAAGGGGUGGGCAAGUUCUGGUGUCAGCCGCCGCGGUAAAACCAGCACCUCAAGUGGUCAGGAUGAUUAUUGGGCCUAAAGCAUCCGUAGCCGGCUCUGUAAGUUUUCGGUUAAAUCUGUACGCUCAACGUACAGGCUGCCGGGAAUACUGCAAAGCUAGGGAGUGGGAGAGGUAGACGGUACUCGGUAGGAAGGGGUAAAAUCCUUUGAUCUAUUGAUGACCACCUGUGGCGAAGGCGGUCUACCAGAACACGUCCGACGGUGAGGGAUGAAAGCUGGGGGAGCAAACCGGAUUAGAUACCCGGGUAGUCCCAGCUGUAAACCAUGCAAACUCAGUGAUGCAUUGGCUUGUGGCCAAUGCAGUGCUGCAGGGAAGCCGUUAAGUUUGCCGCCUGGGAAGUACGUACGCAAGUAUGAAACUUAAAGGAAUUGGCGGGGGAGCACCACAAGGGGUGAAGCCUGCGGUUCAAUUGGAGUCAACGCCGGG